ensembl:lncRNA
GCUUCCUCGGUGCAGGAUGAUUGAAUGGGUGUUGCGCCUUGUAUGUUUCAUCAAAGGUUCUGGUCCAAGGUGAAGUUUUAUCAAGUGAUCAUCAGCUAUUUAGAAUAUGAGAGAUAGACACAUUCAAACGACACAAGAGGCUAAAUAACUUGUUGAAUAUUUUAUUUGCAAACAAAGUAGUAAUAUCUUAGAUUCCGUAAAAAUAUACAUUUUGAAACUCGUGACGGCUAUAUUUACACGAACGGAGAACGCCUUUAAAACAAAAUGUACCGGUCUGGAGAGAGAAGGAAAAAACAAGAAAAAAACAAGAAUAAAGCUACAGCUGAGAAAAGUGGGGGGAUUUGUACGACAUCUACUUUCCCUCCAUUACAGUCUGGACAGAUUUCUGUAAAGUCUGAAACUGAAUCGGUGGAACUCUGAGAGACAGACGAGUCUGCGUGACGACUCGGUGAACACCGAAGCAAAGCAAACCCAGUAUCUGCUCAAAACAGUUCCUUCAUCUUCCUUUAAUAGACAGUGUUUCUGUUUAUUUUUCUUGGUAUUACAGUAUAAAGUUCCACCGCCUUGUAUGGAUCAGAGGAACGGAUUUUUAUUUACUUAUCAAACCCAUUACCACCCGCAUUAAAUUUACCGCUAAACGCACGAUGGUCUGGGAAAACGCGUCAGAUAUCGCUAAUGAUUUUACUUUCUAAUUUCGCCUUGGCGUCUUCCUGUUAAGGUCGUGAUGUGUAAGCAGUCAGUUCAAUAUACGCUGAAAAGAAGUGUGAUUUUUCUCACAGUUUGAUCUUGUUGCUGGAAACGGACGUAAUCCGAAUCAAUUCAGUGUGUGAUCGGAUAGUCAAAAUGUCUGCAAUGCUCCUGCGAUCACAUCAUCAUCAUCAUCAUCAUCAUCAUCAAAACAGAGAAGAGCGCUUACACGCUCUGUACAGACGACAGCGGAGAAACUUUUCAAAUGUUUCAAUGAGCUAAUAAAAAAAAAUAAUAGUUAAAAAGAUGAAGCAGCGAUGAUUUCCUCACUGAUGUUAGCGUGAACAGCGGUCAGUCGAGUGAGGAGACGACGAUGGGGCUCGGGUUGAAACCCGGCGAGCGACUAUUACUUCAGGUGAUGAGACAGACUUUUGUGGACGACGCUCAGAAUCAAAGCGAGAACUCAUUUCACAUCGUAAACAUAGAAUUCUUUACAAUUUUAGCAAAUUGCAUUUAGUUUUCCCAUAUAUACAUGGUGUUCCAAAAGUAUCCGUACAUACAGUAGGGGAAAUGAACUCUUUUUAGCAAAAUGUCUUCCAAAAAUGGUCAUACUUAGUUUAUAUUAUAUAUAGUUUUCUGAGACAGCCUUUAAGAACGUCUUUGACAAAAGAAGAACGUAUUGAAAUCAUCCUCAAGGCUGGAUCGGGAAACUGUCGUAAGGUUGCGAUGGACUUUAACGGGGAAACACGGCGAGCACAUCAACACACACGACACUGUUGCUCGACUUAUUAACAAAUUCAAAAAGACUGGAAGAGUUGCGAACAGACCAGGAAGUGAACGUCCACGAACGUCCACUGACGAACACAACCCACGUGGUUCUGGUGUACAUAGCACUCUAUGUAUGGAGACUUUUGCGACACCUUGUAUAUUAGGUUAUAAAUGUAGAGGAAGGCAGAGCAUCUUUUAGUGGAAUUGGAAUGAAAUCUUGAAACGCAAUUUCCUCCUUUUGUCAUUUGCCAAUGUGAAGGGUUUUCCCAAGCCGCAGCGCAUAUAAGUUUAGAUUCCUCCAUUUAAAAGGUGCUUUGAUCCGAAAUGACUCAGAAACCAUCAGCGAGUCGUCAAGGGUUAGUCAGAAAGUUUCAAAAAUAACAGACUCACAGACAUAGCUGUAAUCAUGGCCUAGUUAGGACAGCGUUAAUGUUAAUGUUAAUGUUAAUGUUGUACACUACUAAUUAGCACUAGUGUUGGGAUUCUACACUCUGCAUGCAAUCACCUCCCUUUCUUAAAACAGCAUUGUUGAGGACCAUCACACAACGGUGUCAAAUACGAUUUUAAAGACCACUCGAGCCUUUUUGGAUUUUGCACGACAUCUACUGAUGCUAGAACGAGCGGGAGAGUGGGAAAAUGUGGCAUCGCUAGGCACAGAGGCUCAUAAACUGCCCUGAAAUGCCACCUGAGACCCAGAGAACCCGACGAGAAGAACGGCUGGAGGCUAUGCAGCUUGUUUUCGUUUCCUCGGGUCCAAGUGAUGUUGCGGAGACAGCGUACACACACAUGCACACACUCGUACUGCAAACGGUGCCAGAAAUGGAUGAUGAGCUGGGCACACAGUGCGGGACAUCGGUGAUUCCGAGAAACACACACUUUGUCAUGUGGAGCGAUUUGAUAUGUGGACGUGGUGUAGUAGAGUGGGGUUAAAGCCACGCAGCGCCUUGCCCCUGUUCCCUGCUGGCUCAGCUCCAUCCUUCAUCCUCCACCCUGCUGACAGCACAUCCAUCAAUCUUAGUGAAGCCAUUGCACCCAGCAACAUCGCCCUGCAAGCACUCGCUUCGAUUGGAAGCGAGUACACUCGUUCGUGUGCGCGAGAGAGAUAGAUAUUGUUCGGCCGAAUGUGCGGACAUGUAUAAAAGUAAGAUUGUCACGUGCGUGUGUUAUAUGAUUAUAGAGAAAGGUUACAGGAAGAUAUGAAAUCAAGUCCAGAUGAGCAGUCUGCCGGAUCCCACGCACAGCCCUACAGGAAUGAUCAUAGGCACAAUAAAUUAAAGAUAGGGGUGGAUUGAUUUAAAACAGUGGUUCUGAAUGUCGGGGGGACGUCCAUGAUGUUAUAUUUAGAUACUUAGAUAUGUGUUUAGAAUUCACAACCCGCCAUUAGCAAAGUUAUGUUUAUUAUUAAGGUCUUAUAGGCUGUACCAGAUCUUACUGGUCCCUUGAUUUGAAUGGCUUUAAUCCAACGUAACACAAACACUUAAAUCUUCAGUAAGCGCGUGAGCCGGAUAUAUAUAUAUAUAUAUAUA